UACGGAGGGUGCAAGCGUUAUCCGGAUUCACUGGGUUUAAAGGGUGCGUAGGUGGGCUAGUAAGUCCGUGGUGAAAUCUCCAAGCUUAACUUGGAAACUGCCGUGGAUACUAUUAGUCUUGAAUAUUGUGGAGGUAAGCGGAAUAUGUCAUGUAGCGGUGAAAUGCUUAGAUAUGACAUAGAACACCGAUAGCGAAGGCAGCUUGCUACACAAUCAUUGACACUGAGGCACGAAAGCGUGGGGACCAAACAGG
rnacentral:rRNA from 1 species